UAGGGAAUCUUCCACAAUGGACGAAAGUCUGAUGGAGCAACGCCGCGUGAGUGAAGAAGGUUUUCGGAUCGUAAAGCUCUGUUGUUGGUGAAGAAGGAUAGAGGUAGUAACUGGCCUUUAUUUGACGGUAAUCAACCAGAAAGUCACGGCUAACUACGUGCCAGCAGCCGCGGUAAUACGUAGGUGGCAAGCGUUGUCCGGAUUUAUUGGGCGUAAAGCGAGCGCAGGCGGAAGAAUAAGUCUGAUGUGAAAGCCCUCGGCUUAACCGAGGAACUGCAUCGGAAACUGUUUUUCUUGAGUGCAGAAGAGGAGAGUGGAACUCCAUGUGUAGCGGUGGAAUGCGUAGAUAUAUGGAAGAACACCAGUGGCGAAGGCGGCUCACUGGAGCGCAACUGACGCU
rnacentral:rRNA from 1 species